AACGCACAUUGCGCCUGCUAGCAUUCUGGCAGGCAUGCCUGUUCGAGCGUCAUUUCAACCCUCAAGCUUUAUGGCUUGGUGUUGAGGUUCUAUAAUCAUAGGCCUCUAAAUCUAUUGGCAGUAUGUCAUACACUCCAAGUGCAGUAAAUUUUAUUCACUAAGAGCGUUAUGAUACUAUUAGCCGUAAAACACAGGUGCUCUUGAGCCCUAAUUUUUACAAGGUUGACCUCGGAUCAGGUAGGAAUACCCGCUGAACUUAA
rnacentral:misc_RNA from 1 species